UACGUAGGGUGCGAGCGUUAAUCGGAAUUACUGGGCGUAAAGGGUGCGCAGGCGGGCUUUUAAGUGAGAUGUGAAAUCCCCGGGCUUAACCUGGGAAUUGCAUUUCAGACUGGGAGUCUAGAGUACUUUAGGGGGGGGUGGAAUUCCACGUGUAGCGGUGAAAUGCGUAGAGAUGUGGAGGAACACCGAAGGCGAAGGCAGCCCCUUGGGAAUGUACUGACGCUCAUGUGCGAAAGCGUGGGGAGCAAACAGG
rnacentral:rRNA from 1 species